rnacentral:rRNA from 1 species
UCUUUGACGAGUUUGAUCCUGGCUCAGAGCGAACGCUGGCGGCGUGGAUUAGGCAUGCAAGUCGAACGGGGUCGUGGCCGCAAGGUUACGACUCAGUGGCGAAAGGGCGAGUAAUACAUCGAUCAUCUGCCCCAGGGACCGGAACAACACUUGGAAACGAGUGCUAAUACCGGAUGGUCCAGAAAUGGUAAACGGUGGGGACCGCAAGGCCUGCCGCCCAGGGAGGAGUCGAUGGCCUAUCAGCUAGUUGGUGAGGUAACGGCUCACCAAGGCUAAGACGGGUAGCCGGACUGAGAGGUUGGUCGGCCGCACUGGGACUGGGACACUGCCCAGACUCCUACGGGAGGCUGCAGUCGAGGAUCUUCCGCAAUGGGGGCAACCCUGACGGAGCGACGCCGCGUGCAGGAUGAAGGCCUUCGGGUCGUAAACUGCUGUCACACGUUAUGAAACUGCACGGAUUAAUACUCCGUGCCCUGACAAAGGCGUGAAAGGAAGCCACGGCUAACUUCGUGCCAGCAGCCGCGGUAAGACGAAGGUGGCUAGCGUUGCUCGGAAUUACUGGGCAUAAAGCGCGCGUAGGUGGUCCUGUAAGCGAGGGAUGAAAUCCCAUGGCUCACCCAUGGAACUGUCUCUCGAACUGCAGAGCUUGAGGACGGGAGGGGAGAGUGGAAUUCCCGGUGUAGCGGUGAAAUGCGUAGAUAUCGGGAGGAACGCCGGUGGCGAAAGCGACUCUCUGGCCCGUUUCUGACACUGAGGCGCGAAAGCUAGGGGAGCAAACAGGAUUAGAUACCCUGGUAGUCCUAGCUGUAAACGAUGGGCACUGGGUAGAGGGGGCGUCGAUACCCUCUUUGCCGAAGCAAAUGUGUUAAGUGCCCCGCCUGGGGAGUACGGUCGCAAGGCUAAAACUCAAAGGAAUUGACGGGGGCUCACACAAGCGGUGGAGCAUGUGGUUCAAUUCGAAGCAACGCGAAGAACCUUACCCGGGUUUGAAAUUCACGGAUGGGUCCGGUGAAAGCUGGAUACCCUACCCGCAAGGGUGAAACGUGGACAGGUGUUGCAUGGCUGUCGUCAGCUCGUGUCGUGAGAUGUCGGGUUAAGUCCCUCAACGAGCGAAACCCUUGUCUUUAGUUGCCAACGGUUCGGCCGGGGACUCUAGAGAGACUGCCGUUGUGAAAACGGAGGAAGGUGGGGACGACGUCAAGUCAUCAUGGCCUUUAUGUCCGGGGCUACACACGUGCUACAAUGGUCGGUACAAAGGGAUGCUAAGCCGCGAGGUAGAGCAAAACUCACAAAGCCGGCCCCAGUUCAGAUUGGAGGCUGCAACCCGCCUCCAUGAAGAUGGAAUCGCUAGUAAUCGCGGAUCAGCUACGCCGCGGUGAAUAUGUUCCUGGGCCUUGUACACACCGCCCGUCAAGCCACGAAAGCUGACAGUACCCGAAGUCGCGUACCCAACCGCAAGGAGGGAAGCGCCCACGGUAAGGUCGGUGAUUGGGACUAAGUCGUAACAAGGUAGCCGUAGGGGAACCUGUGGCUGGAUCACCUCCUUU